rnacentral:lncRNA from 1 species
UCCACUCUCGCUCCCCCUCAGAUCCACCUCACCCGCAGCCAAACCACGUCGCCAUGGCCGGCCUCAUCCUCGUGGCCACUGCCCUCCCCGCCGCCUGAGACUGCGUCGGGAGCACCGCCUCCAUCGUCUUUGUCGACUACGUGGACGCAUUCGAGCUCGGGACCCCUGCCUCGCGUGGAUCGAGCCAUUCCCUUCGCUGCAACGCGGUCGCCCUCGCCUCCACCCACGGCCGCCGCGGCCAUCACCGUCGAUCUCCACCACCGGCGCCUCCCGGCCACGCCGUAGCUCGUCCACGGCCUCCUCGGGGUGAUCCUCCGCCCGUCCCCCCUUUCUUCCCCUCUCUCCGACAUCGUUUGCUGCCGCCCAAGCUCCAGCCGUUGGCCGUGAUGCGUGCCCGCGUCUUCGCGCUCGCGACCCCCUGACCGCGCCCAGCCCCGCGUCCGCCGUGUCGCAGCCCUGUCCCGGCGCGCCUGCACCUUGCUGGCCCGUUUGCUGGCUCGCCCCGCCUCCGCCCGCCGUUGCCGCGUCCUGCCGCUGGUUGUCCCAGCCGCCCUGUGCGCCACCCCGCGCACCGCGUCCCUGGCCUCGCCCAGUCCCGUGUCCGCUGCGUCCCGGCGCGCAGGCUCGUCCGCCGGCUCGCCCGGCCGCGCGCCCCGCGACGCAGCCGCCCGUGGCUCUGCCACUGUUCUGCUGGUCCCUGUACUGCUGUUGCUUUUGCGUGUUGUCGUCGCCUCGCGUCCGCUCGCUGCUGCUCUAUUUCUGCUGCGCGCAACUGCUCCUGAUGUGUGCCGCUGAACUGCUACUACUCGUGGUGCUUGCUGCUGCUCUUAUCCUGCUAACUGCCGCUGCUAGCGUUGCCUUGCUGCUGCUACUCCCGCUUGCAAUUGCCGGCUGCUACUGGUGGUGGCUAUGGCCGUGUGUGCGUAGGUGUUCUGUAUGGCCGGCUUAAUUAGUUUAGGCUAAUUUAGAUACUUAGGUAAUCUUUGUUAGGUUAGUUGCUAGCCUAUGGCAGGUGGAGCCCACUUUUUAGUUAAGUUAGAAUUUAUUUAUUUUGUUUAGGUAUAGUCUAUGCCAUGUGGGCCAUGCUUUCCCUUUUGACCAGUCAAAUUGACUUGGUCAAUUCGGAUUAAAUAAAUGCAGAUACAAAAUAUUGAUUAAAACUUUGAUAAAUAACAUAAAAUAAACCGUUUAUCAAAUGAAAAUGUUUUGUACAUGAAAGUUGCUCAGAACGACGAGACGAAUCCGGAUACGCAGCCCGUUCGUCCGUCACACACCUCUAGCAUGCCGAACACGCAACUUUCCCCCUCCGGUACCUUUGCCCGAGAACGCGGAACCCCGGGGAUACUUUCCCGGAUGUUUCCCCCCUUCACCGGUAUCACCUAUUACCCCGUUAGGGCACACCGAACACCGCGUAUUGUCUUGUUACGCUUUGUGAUGCUUUGAUUGCUCUGUUAUUUAUUGUGUUCCCUCUCCGUUACUUCUUUCUGAUAGACCCCGAGACUGCCGGCAACCCCCAGUUCGACUACGGUGUUGGUGACUCGUCCUUCUUGCCAGAGCAACC